rnacentral:rRNA from 1 species
GACGAACGCUGGCGGCGUGCCUAAUACAUGCAAGUAGAACGCUGAAGGAGGAGCUUGCUUCUCCGGAUGAGUUGCGAACGGGUGAGUAACGCGUAGGUAACCUGCCUGGUAGCGGGGGAUAACUAUUGGAAACGAUAGCUAAUACCGCAUAAGAGUAGAUGUCGCAUGACAUUUGCUUAAAAGGUGCAACUGCACCACUACCAGAUGGACCUGCGUUGUAUUAGCUAGUUGGUGAGGGAACGGCUCACCAAGGCAACGAUACAUAGCCGACCUGAGAGGGUGAUCGGACAAACUGGGACUGAGACACCGCCCAGACUCCUACGGGAGGCAGCAGUAGGGAAUCUUCGGCAAUGGACGGAAGUCUGACCGAGCAACGCCGCGUGAGUGAAGAAGGUUUUCGGAUCGGAAAGCUCUGUUGUAAGAGAAGAACGAGUGUGAGAGUGGAAAGUUCACACUGUGACGGUAUCUUACCAGAAAGGGACGGCUAACUACGUG